CUCUGCGUGAGGAGUCCAGCGGGUACACUUGGUUCCUGGGAUCCAGCUUCACUGGGAAAAUUGUUGUUUCAAGGGCCAUGUGAAAACUGCAAGUCCUGCCGUUAUUGAUGUUAAAUACUUAUCAAACAAUUCUACCAUUCCUCAUUGUUGGGCUUAUACCCAGCACAGGGUCAGGGUCAGCAGUCAAUCACUAUUUGUGGAAUAAACAAAAUCAUUCAUUUCUU